GUGAAUCAUCAAAUUUUUGAACGCAAAUUGCACUCUCUGGUAUUCCGGAGAGUAUGCCUGUUUGAGGGUCAGUAUAAAUAAAAAUCGAGGUGUUGCGUAUGGUGACGCCAUCGGAAUUGUGUUAUCUUCAAUCUUAAUAAAGGUUUAAAGUGACCUAAAAUCGAUGUUACCUUGUGCAUCUCCAGACGUACAUAAGUAUUUUUUUUUUUUUCCCUCCGGACUUUGCCAA
rnacentral:misc_RNA from 1 species